rnacentral:rRNA from 1 species
CGGAGGGAUCAUUAUAGAGUUAUUAAAAACUCCCAACCCAUGUGAAUCUUACCUUUGUUGCCUCGGCGGAGAUCAAAAUCCGCCGGUGGUCCACUAAACUCUUGUUUAAAUUAUUUGAAUCUGAGUGUUUUACUUUAAUAAGUCAAAACUUUCAACAACGGAUCUCUUGGUUCUGGCAUCGAUGAAGAACGCAGCGAAAUGCGAUAAGUAAUGUGAAUUGCAGAAUUCAGUGAAUCAUCGAAUCUUUGAACGCACAUUGCGCCCAUUAGUAUUCUAGUGGGCAUGCCUGUUCGAGCGUCAUUUCAACCCUUAAGCUUAACUGCUUAGUGUUGGGAGUUUACGGCUUUACCGCUGUAAUUCCUGAAAGUUAGUGGCAGCGUUAGGGCAUUCUCUAAGCGUAGUAAAUCUAUUCUCGCUUUUGUAGAUGUCUUAACGGUCGCCAUAAGCAGAGGAAACUCUAAAUUUUCUAAUGGUUGACCUCGGAUCAGGUAGGAAUACCCGCUGAACUUAAGCAUA